rnacentral:rRNA from 1 species
UACGUAGGGGGCGAGCGUUGUCCGGAUUUACUGGGCGUAAAGAGCGUGUAGGCGGCCAUACAGGUCCGUUGUGAAAACUGGAGGCUCAACUUCCAGACGUCGACGGAAACCGUGUGGCUAGAGUCCGGAAGAGGAGAGUGGAAUUCCUGGUGUAGCGGUGAAAUGCGCAGAUAUCAGGAAGAACACCAAUGGCGAAGGCAGCUCUCUGGGACGGUACUGACGCUGAGACGCGAAAGCGUGGGGAGCGAACAGG